CAGAGGGUGCAAGCGUUAAUCGGAUUUACUGGGCGUAAAGCGUGCGUAGGAGGCCGCAUAAGUCGGUUGUGAAAUCCCUGGGCUCAACCUGGGAAUUGCUUCCGAUACUGUGUGGCUAGAGUUCGGUAGAGGGUGGCGGAACUCCCGGUGUAGCGGUGAAAUGCGUAGAUAUCGGGAAGAACACCGAUGGCGAAGGCAACCACCUGGGCCUGAACUGACUCUGAGGCACGAAAGCGUGGGGAGCAAACAGGAUUAGAUACCCUGGUAGUCCACGCUGUAAACGAUGGAAACUUGACGUCGGUUUGCUCUGCGAAUCGGUGUCGAAGCUAACGCGCUAAGUUUCCCGCCCGGGGAGUACGGCCGCAAGGUUG
rnacentral:rRNA from 1 species